CAGUGAGGCAUUCCUGCCUCUACACCCUAAUUGUCUGCUGCCAUCUGCUGAUUGAUUAUCAGCUCCACCUGUGAUGGUUCUCAUCUUCCACCCUUUAAAAGGCAGUGGCAGACAUCUCCUCAACGCUGAAGCAWCGUCUACUUUUGGUAACGUUUCUCGGCCUGUGAAAAUAUCUCUUGAGCCUUACUUCGCUAACUUGUGUUUCUUGUUCCAUAGUGAAAUCCUCCUGAGCCCCACCCUGAGUACUACCUGUGGACAAAACCUGGAAGCCUUGGUAUUACCUGGAUCUCCUGCCUCUCUGCCUCCAACGCCUUCUCAUGUAAAUACUCACCUGUGCCAUUCCUCACCACACGUUCAGUUUCCAUCUGGACCCAAGCUUUCUCACCUCAUCACUGGAAAUUUGGAUCCCUGCACAUUCUUCCCCACACCUGUAAAAUAAACAUUGUUUACAUUUUU